rnacentral:rRNA from 1 species
GUGUCAGCCGCCGCGGUAAUACGGAGGGUGCAAGCGUUAUCCGGAUUCACUGGGUUUAAAGGGUGUGUAGGCGGAUAUUUAAGUCCGAGGUGAAAUCUCUGAGCUCAACUCAGAAACUGCCUUGGAUACUAUUUAUCUUGAAUAUCGUUGAGGUAGGCGGAAUAUGUCAUGUAGCGGUGAAAUGCUUAGAUAUGACAUAGAACACCGAUUGCGAAGGCAGCUUGCUAAACGAUUAUUGACGCUGAGGCACGAAAGCGUGGGGAUCAAACAGGAUUAGAUACCCUGGUAGUCCACGCCCUAAACGAUGAUUACUCGACAUCAGCGAUACACUGUUGGUGUCUGAGCGAAAGCAUUAAGUAAUCCACCUGGGAAGUACGACCGCAAGGUUGAA